rnacentral:rRNA from 1 species
UACAGAGGGGGCAAGCGUUAUUCGGAAUUAUUGGGCGUAAAGGGCGCGUAGGCGGCUUGGCAAGUGGAAGGUGAAAUCCCUCGGCUUAACCGAGGAACUGCCCUCCAAACUGCUUUGCUUGAGGCCGGGAGAGGCGAGUGGAAUUCCCAGUGUAGCGGUGAAAUGCGUAGAUAUUGGGAGGAACACCAGUGGCGAAGGCGGCUCGCUGGACCGGUGCUGACGCUGAUGCGCGAAAGCGUGGGGAGCAAACGGG